AAAGAACUAUCGUUUUUGCUCCCACAAUAAGAAAAGUGUAAAAAUAGAAAAAUAAUUGAAGACAAAAGAACGUCAUUUUUGCUCCCACAAUAAAAAAUAAAUAAAUAAAUUGCUAUAGUGAGAUAAAAUGGAACAAUUCACUAUUGAUUUCCACAGUAACUUUAUAUUCUCUUUUUUAUAUAGUAGGGAUAUGGUUUUUUGGAUUUUUUCUCAUGGUCAAGAAUUGACAUCUAAGUUUUAUUUUUGUCUUAGAUAUUCAUUUUUUAGAAUAUUUUCUGUGUAGCUUAUGUUUAAUCAUUCAUGUAGUGUUAUUUGAGAUAAACUUAUUGCGAGAAAAAUUGUGUUCAGUAAAAAUUGACGCCUGACAUAUGUUUAAUCGUUUUACUUAUGGAGAUUUAAAAAAUGAAACAUAAUAUUCCUGUUGUGCUUUCAAAAAAUAAAUGUACUAUCGAAGCUUUAAAUUGAUCAUUAUUAUGGUCAAAUUUCUAGGGUGAGUAUAUGUUCCAUUAUUAAACCUGUCUAAGUCCUUGUCUCUUACCUUUGGUAAUUAUUUUCUUCGAUAGAUUAGAAUUGGAAUGCUAUUUCGUAUAUUUGGAUAUCCUUACAAACUUAGAAGAGCGAAUCCAAUGCAUAACUAUUCACAUUUUCUAACGAAAAAACGUCUUGGAAUCUGUAUAAAAUGGUGUCACUUCAUGUAUUUUGUGUGCUCUUCAUACAAUUUUAAAGGGAAGUAGAUGAAUAAAUUGCAGAGGUUAAAAGGACAUAGAUUGUAGGUCGAUAUAUAAAAAGCCCAGCAGUUGAUGUUUAAACUAUACUUCAGAGAAAUUGACCUAUUAGCAGUAUAUUAAAUAAACAGAACAAGUUGAUUGGUUUCAGUUUAUAUUUGAGAAGUAACUGGAAACAAAUAUUCUUUGUUCAUUGUUUGUUUGAAACGAUUUUCUUCGAAUGAUGUUGGUAUAAUGUUUUUAUUUUUUUACAUAAUCUUUUUGUUGUGAGUUGAGAAAUCUGAAUAUGGGCGUUUUUCUAUGACCAGAAAUUUCAGCUGACGUCUUCAUCUCCAUGACACUGCCUUAACUAUGCAAUUUUAUUUUGGGUGAUUCUUGGUUGUAAGGCUUUUGUUUGUUUCCCUUUUUUAUAAGUUGAGAACUGUUAAUAUGGACUUUAUAAGUUUUUAUAAUCGAGAUACUAACAUUUUUAUUAUUGGAUAAAAAAUUUUUGUCUCCCACUUCUCAUCUUUUUUUUUUUUUUUUUUUUUCAAUAUCUUGAUCUUGAUCUGGUUCUUUAUCUCUUAUAUAUUGAUAUUUGUUCAAUAUUUUUUGCUCCAAUAAAAAUCAAUAUUUUUUCUUUCUUCAUUUGGAUUCUCUGUAUUUUUUCUUUCUAUUCUAUUUUUUGCUAUUUGUAUUGUUGUUGUUGAUAUGUGAAUCUGCUAAAGCCGGUACAUGAAGGACUAAGAAAUGAUUUUACGUUUUUUUAGUCUUUCACAUGGAUGUUAUGUUAUGUACGCACAAAAGGUAGGUUACAGGAUUGUGCUAUUUUUUCUUGUAGUUCCUCGGUGUACUCACUUUAUUUUCUUCUAAUUGACAGGUAUUUUACAUUUUUGUUUACUUUUUUUUAGGGAUUAUCUAAAUUCUUUCAAUGCUCUCAGAUUUUUACAUGUUAAAAUUAGAUUUCAUCUUUCAAAUACAAAUUACUUUAUAGAUUAUCUGUAUUAUUUUUCACUUUAUUCCUUUCUAUACACUUUAAGUUCAUAGAUUAUAUUUAAUUGAAGAGGUCAUUAAAUAAAUUGUAUUUUAGCACUUCCAAUUAACAUGUAUAACAAAUUCCUAUAUUUGGACUUUGGCAAGUGUUGCUAGAACUAUUUUGGGUAAAUAAGUAUUUGAAAAACUUGCACUUUUGUGUAUUUUGUUUAUUUUCCUUCAUAUUUGCUCUAAUAUUUUACAACAAUUUCAACAAAUUGUUGUUGGUAUAUAUAAAGAAUUCUUUGUUUCAACUUGGAUUUCUUAUAAUUCUGUUACUGUUUGUACUUUUGGCUAUCUGAACUUUACUUUUAUCUAGCUAAUAAGGUUUGUCCUCCGUUUAAUCCUUACUCUAUUGUGUACUUGUUCUUCUCUGCAUCUUUAUUUAAGGUAUAUUCUUAUUUUUGUACUUCCAUUUGUUUAAAAACUUUUAGGUCCCUUGCCUAUACCAUAGUUUAAAAGAGCAAUCAAAUAUCUUUACAGAAUAGCGUUCCUUUUUUGUCACUAGAAGAUGAAGAAAUAGAGCACACACUAUAGAAAACUUUUAGGUCAAGAUAUUUAUUUGCUCUUAUACUAUGUUAUGAUUUCACAAGAAUUCUUUCUGAAUUUGGCGAUAACUAUUUUGGAAGAGGCUCAAACUCUACACUCCAACAAAGAUUCAAUAUUGAUAGGUAAUUUCUUGACUAACAUUUACCACCUAUGUUAGUCUACUCACCGGAAACACCCUGAUAAUGCCAUGAGUAUUAUGCCUUGCUGUUAUUGCUCUAUACCCACUUAGGAAAUUCUUAAGAGAUUUUCAUUCUACUUAUGAAUUUUUCCUCAGUGUUAUCUUCUCUUAAACUCCUAUCUGUUGUAUGUAGAGGAAAACCUCGAUACCAGAAGAAAUAUUCGUUUCCUGAUUUAUAUGCUAAAUUUGGUAUCGCUUGACCCUCUUGCAACUAAGUAAUUUUCAUUGAGCACUCAUGUGUAACUAUAUUAUCAGUUAGAAACAAUAAUAAAGAUGAUGAUGUUAUCAGCAAGGCAUUAAUAAUUAGUAAUAUGUAAGCAAACGUGUUAUAAGUUUCUCUAAUUGCAGUUUCUCUCUUUGUUUUCUUAAACUCCAUUUGUCUAGCUUUUGAUAGGGUCUGUAUCUUCUUCAUGAGCAUCUGGAAAUAAAGCAAAUAUAUUGGUUUAAAAAUGCAACAAGCACACAAUAAGUGCAUGUGAGUGGAUGAAGUUGUUGGUCUUCACCUUGAUUUCUUCAUCUUAGCAUCGAAAGAGCUAUCUUUAAACUCAACAGUACUUCCUCAAACCAUCGCUAUAUAUUACUCUAUAGAUGACAGGGGACAUGCAAGGAUUAUUUACUGUACGAGCUUCGACAAAAAAUGUAGCUUUAUGAUUUUAGAACUAUUUUUUUUUUAUAACAGCCAUUUAUUAGGCCACAUGAUCAUGGUUUGUCAUAUAUCUGUUUGAUAUAGGUACUUUUUAUCAAUUUUGCAAAUGAAACAUUUCAAAUGAUAUGACUAAUCUCGAUACUUUCUCACUUUCAAUGGUCAAAUUUUUGUGGACAAUGUAUUGGAAUACUUGCAAUGCCACUUCACAACUUAGGUUGAGGUAACCUUUAUACUUCAAAAAGUAUAUUUUUUUGUAAAUAAAUUAGAGCUCUAGUUUGGC
rnacentral:lncRNA from 1 species